ensembl:lncRNA
UGCAGACACACAUUCAAAGUCGAGCAAUAAGAGGAACCAGCAGGCAUAAUGGGCAGAAAAACAUUUAAGGGGAUGUGUUGUCUUAUGUCAGCCGAAGAAGCUCCAACUGGAUGCAGUGUGGUUAAUACAUUCGGAAGAACGCCAUCUGUGUCUCAGGAGCUUCAGCUGGAAAGGUCAAAGAUCGAAACUGGAAGCAGGAACUUUGAAGUGUGCAGAAAAAUCGCCUCAAACUACAGAGGCAAUGAGACUGAAAUUUCAGUGCAAAGCUGUGAAGGGAACAUCAGUGAAGAGGUUGAAAAGGAAUCAUCUACAGAACAUCAGAGACACCCCAUGAAUCCUGAAGAGGCUCAAAGUCAGUUUGUACAGAAGCUGACUGCUCUGAAAGGUAUUUUUUCCACUUCCGUCAACUGCUUCAGGUGCGUCCUGAAACCUGACGAAGGAGGCAACCAUGAUGAAGAUCAAUAUCAUCCAGUUACAAUCUUUAACAAGCACACCAGAAACUCCAUGGAUCUAAACACUGUCUGUGGCACUUCAGCUACAGGAAUAAAUCGAUGCAUUUACGAAGGACUCGUGGAACACAGAAGUGCAACAUUAAAUCUCACCAAUCUCCACAUUAUGGUUCAGACAAACCCACAGUCUUCAAGGCUAGAAAGCCCUUUGGUUCAGGAACGUAUUGGAGAAACCAGUGAGUGUACUGCUGAGGUUAUAGUUCUAGCUAAUGAACACGCUGCUGAGAAUAUAACCCCAACACACACACACACACGUAAAAAGGAACAGAAAAUGCCACCAUCCUAAUAUACUAACCGUGUGUGAAGGAAACCAGGAGACUCUGAAGCUCCAAAAAAUCGCCAUGUGUAAGUGAAGACAUGAAAGGGACACCAAAGCAAAUGUAGGUGGAAGGAUUCAGAUGACCCCACAUUCUCUGGAGAUCUCUUGCUCAGAAUAGCGCUGUGAGUCACAUUUCUCCAAAUGUGAACAAUUUUCACAAACAAUAAUGCACAUCAAGGAGAAGUGCGUCAGAGCAUCCAGCAGCAAGGGGACGAGAUCAGACUUUCUGCAACGUUUAACGGUGACUCAUUCUCGAUUCACCUCAACCCUGCUGGAGAAAAUGACAUGGGCCCAAAUGGGAAACAAAAUAGCAGCAGACACUGUGACUGAUGAUGCUGUUGUUAUGGAGAAUGUACAGUCGGAGGUUCUGAUGCUACUCUCUCUGUCAGAACUGUACACACUGAGCAACAGUGGGAGGAAACACAGCGUUUUGUGCUGUCCAUAUGGAUUUCCACAUCUGACACAGCCGCAAACAAUAUUUCAGUGUUUUUAUGAGGAGGUUUCCAUUGAUUAAUAGCACAAGACCAACAUACAGCCAUAAAGGAUAAACCUUAAGAUUUUAAUUUGCAUGAAGGACGUGUUCAUUUUUUUUGUCUACAAGGGAAGCUUUCAGCCUGGUGCUGCUACAGGAAGGGAAUUCAGUGCAACUUCAAUAGAUAACCUGCUCUGGUCACCUAAUCAGAUAUUCAGCCUGAUUAUUUAAAUAUGAAUUAAUUCAGGAAUAUAUGACAUGCAGUGCAAAAUUGAUAAGUCAAGGCAUUAAAGCAACACUGCUUUUUUUAAACUAAAUGUUUUGUCAAGAGUUAGAGAAGAAUAUAAAUGCCAUGCAAUGUGGACCUGCCACCAGCUGAUGGUUAGCUUAGCUUAGCAUAAACAGUGGAAACUGGUGGUAACAGAUAGCCAGGAUCUGUACAAAGGUGACAAAAUCCACCUCUUCUAAAGCUUAACAAAGAGAACAUUAUAUCUUGUUGGUUUAAUACAUUCAAAGCUGUUGUGUUUUAUUGGUUGAGGAUUAGUUGGGCCUGCAGGAAACAGGAGACUAAUGCAAGCAUAUUUCACAAUUUCAUUUCGAACAAGACAACACAGAGAGUACAGUACUCCACCAAGGCUGUUCUUUCCCUCACAUGACAUUGUCAGAAAUGCAGGAUUUUUUUUUUUAAAGAUAUGCACCAUUUAUUUACUAGUUAUUGAUGAUUAAAAAUCAUGACAACAUAGAAUGUGGCCAUUUAAUAUAGAUGUACCCAUAAACAAAAUUACCUAGCGCUGAGCACAGGCGUGUGUUAUGCAUGUGUACAUUAUGUACGGAUACGGAAUCGCAUGACCUAAAUAUGUAGCGGGCAGCAGGAAUUGAUGGGACUCAGAAACUCCCCCACAAUGUAAUCAGCUGUUUCUUGUAUCAUUUCCGAUGUAUAAGUCCUGAUAAGCCCUCAGUGGUGGAUUUGUAGUAGGAUCACAAUCAUGUGAUCAUCAGCGGGCAGCUGACAUAGUGUUCACUUGUCAUAGUUACUGUGAUGGUGCCGCUAUCUUGCAAUUAUACAGAAAUCUUUAAUAAAUCUGUGGAUCUAGACUAUAAGCCACAUCACUGCCAAAAUCUAAUCUAUUGGUCCUUGUGGCAUUUCUGACCUUCCUUGAAAAUUUCAUCCAAAUCUGUUGGUCCAUUUUUGAGUAAUGUGGCUAACAGACAGACAGAUAAACAAACCAACACCGAUUGUCACAUAACUCCACCGCGUUCCUUGGUGGAGUAGCUAGAUGGAGGUUUUCCUCAAGCUUCAAGAUUUGACAUUGAACCAGAAAACACUUAAACCCAUCUAUGCCAGUUGAAAUUGUGCUUUAGUGUCUACCUCAUAAUGGCCAGAUUGUAACCAACUGAUUUGACCAUUCACACAUCCUCAUAGCGCUUUGGGAGAUUUUCUUAAGCACCACUUUAAUGUUUGCACACAUAUGCAAAAUUUAUUAUGACUAUGAAGCAUAUUUAAGCUGCCUGAAACCCUUUUGGAUUUGAAUAAAGUUACCCACACUACUGCUAAGAAACAGCUUGUUUCCUGUUCCUGUCAACACCUUCC